GCUAGCCUCGAAAUUCCUGGCAGCACGCAACGGCCAUGCACAAAGGUGCGGUGAGGAUUACUCGGAAGGCCCGUGUCCCCUCACGCUCGGGGGUCGGGCCCUUUUGCAACCGAUGCCUGUGUCCGCUGGUCCACUCUCCGAGAACAAGGCGGGACAGAGGAGCAGGAAGCAGGGGAGCCAAAGGACACCCAGUGUUCUUCAUACCUUGGUUGGAGCAUGUUGGGAACAGGGAUGGAGUAAAAGUGCAGGCUGUCCUUGGGAAUGAUUUGGGAAUCAGUGAUCCAAACCCUCUAAGCCCUUUAAAUAGGAUAUGGCCUAAUACCCCUUGGGCCCUCUUCCAGGUGCUUAUAUUCCAUGUUGACUCCACCUUUCACUCUUUAAUGUCACUGUGCUGAGAUUGGCACUUGGCAUGCUAGGAAGGCCCCCGGCUGCUCCAUUGGCGCAUGAUGCCUAGACAUACCAGGCCAACUGGCAUUUCUCCAUCACUGCAUGAGCAGGAGCCUUUACUGUUAUCUGAAACUACGCCAUAUCCAAUAAAGAGGCCCAAGCCACAGGUGAGAGUACGUUACCCAUGAUGCAAACCAGCUUGCCAUUGACAUGUGCUCUGCAGGCUAACCUGACAUAGAAUUUUGUCCUGCAGUUUUUGCAGUCUGGUAUAAUUUCUUCCACUUUUAGAGUUAAAGUUCCACAUUUAAUCCAAACGUACACGAACACUUACUUCUCAUGUGGAUUUUCUGGCCUUUUCUAGUCAGGAGCCCAGAAGGUUAUAGGUGGAAAAAGAAAGUCAAGCAAUCGCCGUCAUGUCCGCACACUUAAGUGCAAGCUGUCUAAGACGCGGAGUAUAGAGAAGUGUAGAUUUUCAAUUUGCAUUGCUGUCAGAACGGAGCGAGUGCCGCCAUAACACUCCGGUACGCUGUUCACUGCAAAGGUCACCAAACAGUGAGUCACCUGAGAUGCACCGAAGCAGCUUGCUGUGCAUUUAAUUCGUCUGACGCCUUCGGCGGCACUAACAGCAAAGAAGACGACCCUUUGAUAAAGUUAUUGAUCAUGCGGCCUUGGGCACAGAUGGGGAUUUUUCUGACGAAUCACAGGGUGUGUUGAAACAAGGCUGUCGUUGCGCAGGUCAUGCGAUUGGCACAUCCACGAGUAAUUCUGUAAAUUUAAGAUUACAGCAGAGCUGGUGGAUUUGAGUACACUCUUUGUGAAAAGCUGGGUACCAGCUCUCAUGAGAUUUUGAGGCACUUUUGUUAGAUCCUCUGAGUAUAUUGUUAUGAAGAACAUUGUGCACUAAUUCCAGACAAAAUGACUCUUGCUGUUCUGUCUUUUAAGUACUCAUUAAAUGUGAUUAAAAUGUC